GGAUGCCCUUUCUUGCGUAAUUAGCAAAAGCUAAAAACCAUGUGGCUACGUCAUAUAUUUGGUCUAAACAAGUCCCUCCAGUCAGGUAUUUUCAAGGAGCUUGAACGCCACAACCUUGCGCAAGAAACGAGCAUUUCGCUCAGCUGUGUGCGUGUGUUAUUACACAUCCACUUACCUGCCAGCCGUCACAUGUGCGCGUGUGGGUCAGCCAUAUUGGAGCGGUACAAAUAGUCAGAGAUAUGAAUAAACAGACCAUUAAAAAACAGUUUCGCGUUCAACUGGCAAGAGUCAAGCGACCACUUGGUACAAGUUCUGGAUGAGCAUCUUCUGCGUGGAGAGCUCGCUGCUGAGCGAUGAUCUCGAGCUGGAUUGGCUCGGUGUACUCUGCCUGGUGAGGUGGUUCAGCAGUUCCAGCAAGCGACUCUUCUCCUUCUACCACGGAAAGAUCGAGACGACUAACAUCUCAGCUCAACUCAACAUGUUUAUUUUCUUCUUACCAAUAUAGCGUCCACAAGCUCGUCGUCGUGUUUGCUCUUCAGCAGCAUAGAUGAAAUCUGAGCUUUCAGGGUUUUUAUGUCAGCAGACAGACAUUUGUUCCUUGCUUUGGAAGCAUCCAGCUCUUUCCUCACCUGGUCGCGGUCUCGCUGCAAGGAUUCAUAGCUGUCCGAGAGCCUCUGGAGAAGGAUGGACAUCGUUGCGGCUGUAGCCGAUGUAACGGCCCCGGCUUUUAAGAAAAAUGCCCGAUAGUCGUUCUUCGUCCAUGUUCAACAUGCUCAAUGGAGGUGAUCUCAGCUGCUGCUCCAGGUCCCGCACCUUGCGUGUCCGGGAAAGGGAACCCAAGGUCCACUUACUCAUCAUACGGGGUUUAAUUUGUCCUAGUCUUGAUUCCACAAUUUGAAGAGGCGACCAUUGACAUCCGUCAGCUCCCUCAGCUGGUCCAACAAACGCUGACGUUCAUCCCGUUCAAGUC